UUGCUUUGACAAAUUUCGUGUUUCAGUGGUUUCAGCGGUUAAGUUGCGUCAUCGAUAUAAAUUGCGUAAGAAAAUUAUUUAUUUCGAUCAAAGAAGGGAAAAAAUUAUCUUAGCUACGUAUAUUACGUAAUAAUUUAUAUGUUGUGUUAUGUGAUUUGUGUUCAAAGAGAUUUGUGUGAUUUGUGUUCAAAGAGACUUGUAUGAUUUAUGUCAGAAACAAGCUGUGUUUCCUUAGAGAAUUAUUACCUAAAGAGAAUAUUUUAUUCGAACAUGCUCGAUCUACAAUUCGUUUAGCAUUUCGUUUAGUGUCUGUCUGGUUAACUUAGAUUGCGAGAAAUAGAAAUAGUUAUUUCCUAUUUUGAAAUUUAAUUACAAUGUUAAAUAAUACUACGGUUGUGUCGAAUUAAAAUCAUACGUAACAUCAAAUGGAAUAUUCUAGCAAAUGUUUAAUCUUGUGGAAAAAGGAGAACAACAUGGCGGAAAAGUGGUUCCCCAGUCGUGCAUCUUCAAAGAGGUCCAAAACGGUUCCGGUUCAAGGGAGGAAUCUCGAGAGAUCCACGGCGAGGAAUCGCGACGUGAAAAUCCUGAGAGAUCUAAGGGGCCUGGCCGGGGAGAAACCCUAAGAGAUAAGAGGAACCUCGAGAGAUCCAAGGAAUCUCGAGGAAUCGCGGGAAAUUCGAGAAACUGGGCGGAGAUCCAUAGAAUUUCGAGAGAUCCUUCUCGAAAUCGAAGGGAACUUCAAAGGGUUAGCCGAGGAUCCAACGAGUUUCCAAAGAGUGGCAAGGAGUUUUUCCGCUAAAAAUCCCCCAUACCUGGUCCCGUGAAAAUGAAAAAUCUCUAGGAUUAGGGAGAAGAAGAGAGAGAAUACAUGGAAGCAUCGAUCGAUUUAUUCGUUGUUGGCGUGGAAAAAUGUAACAUUUCUCUCGGGGAUAAAGUGAAACCGUGAGAUUAACAUACAGUUUCGAGUCUCCGCGCUCGGGAAAACGUUGUAAAUUCCAACUUUCUGACAGCCGAUGUCCCCGAUGUUGGGAUAAAAUUGUACAAAUUCGGGUCGUAUUAUUUUUAUUUUCAAAAACAAGGAUUUUCUUGCUUGAAACUCUUUCUUCUUCUUUCCUUUCCAUUUAUUUAUUUAUUUAUUUAUUCGUUUGUAUCGUCCCUUUUCGGGUGAAUCGAAGAGGAAUCGCGGCAAAAUUUUCUCAGAUUGAAAAUACUUAGGGGAAGAAAACAGUUUCUUCAGCAACGCUUUGAGGACGAUUUAUACGUAUACGUGGUGGAGUCGUCUCGGUUAUCGCAAGUGUAUGUACAUUCUAUCUUUCGGUGCAUAUUCUACCUUUUCUGUUGGUGGAAACAUCGAUGGAAAUGCGUCGGGAACAUUUCCUCUCCAAAAUCGGAGAAAUUAUUUCAGCAAACGUAGAAAACAUCGGUAAACAAUUUUCACGUAUCGAUACACGCUGCGCAGCAUCGAACAUAUUCAAAAAAAGUAUUUCUCUUGUAUGUAUAUCGUCCACAUUUUUCACAUUACGUUUCUCUCGAACGCUCUUCAAACUAUCCUCCUACACUUUGAUCAAAUACAUAAGAUUUUUCAAA